GACGAACGCUGGCGGCGUGCUUAACACAUGCAAGUCGAACGGUGAAGGGAUCAGCUUGCUGGUUCUGGAUGAGUGGCGAACGGGUGAGUAACACGUGAGUAACCUGCCCCCUUCUUCUGGAUAACCGCAUGAAAGUGUGGCUAAUACGGGAUAUUCUGGGUCUGUCGCAUGAUGGGUCUGGGAAAGAUAUUGUUUCGGUGGGGGAUGGGCUCGCGGCCUAUCAGCUUGUUGGUGGGGUGAUGGCCUACCAAGGCGGUGACGGGUAGCCGGCCUGAGAGGGUGGACGGUCACACUGGGACUGAGACACGGCCCAGACUCCUACGGGAGGCAGCAGUGGGGAAUAUUGCACAAUGGGCGCAAGCCUGAUGCAGCGACGCCGCGUGAGGGAUGGAGGCCUUCGGGUUGUAAACCUCUUUCGCCAGUGAAGCAGGCCUGCUCCGUGUGGGUGGGUUGACGGUAGCUGGAGAAGAAGCGCCGGCUAACUACGUG
rnacentral:rRNA from 1 species